rnacentral:lncRNA from 1 species
UUAAAACUCUCAUUUUAUUUAAUAAACUUUGUGCUCAAGUAAACUAAGACACUUAUAUUGAAACAUAGUGAGCACAUCAAGACCGAAAAAUAAACCAUGACGUUAACAUUACGGAAUAUUAGCACAACCUCAAGACCAAACAAAGUCAUCCUCAGCUUCAGAACAUGCACCACAUCUGCAAAGCAAAAUAAAGAACUAAAAAUGGUUUAAGAAAUUAAUUUGAGAAGAUAAAUGUUUCUAUCUUCAAAAUUACUAAAGGAACUUUACUUUACCUGUUGAUGCUAAUUAUGGAAAUGAAUUAUGUAAGUGUUAAAUUUUGUAUAAGUAAUAUCAUGUUUGUUAGUUGGUUAAGAGGUAAGUUAUUCAUGUAUAAAAUUAAUGAGUUUAUGUGGUGUUCGGUUUACAAUUUAGAAAUUCACGUAACUUAUACAUGUAUAGAUUAAUAUGAGGAAAUCUAUAUACUUCCUCCGUUUCACAAAGAAUAGUCUAGUUUAACUUGACACGGAGUUUAAGAAAAUAAAGAAGACUUUUGAAUAAUCUUGUGGUCCUAAAUUAAAGUUAUGUCAAAUGUACAAAAUUGUCAUUUAAUCUUGUGGCCUUAAACAUGUCACGUGGAAAACUGAAAUUAAAAUAUUACCAAAAUAAGAAAGAAGUCAUUCUUUUUUAAACAGACUAAAAAAGAAAGGAGGUCAUUCUUUUUUAAACGAAGAGAGUAUUAUUUUACGCGGGAUAAAAAAUGAAAUAAGUAAUACAUAAAUAAAUAAAUCAUAGAUCAAAUAAUACAUAAAUCCCAUUUCUACUAAGCCAAUCUCCAUUUCUGAAAUCU